GAUGAACGCUAGCGGCAGGCCUAAUACAUGCAAGUCGAACGGUAAGAUCUCGCUUGCGAGAUACACGAGUGGCGCACGGGUGAGUAACGCGUAUGCAACCUACCUUUAACUGGAGGAUAGCCCCGAGAAAUCGGGAUUAAUACUUCAUAAUAAUAUAAAACGACAUCGUUUAAUAUUUAAAGCUCCGGCGGUUAAAGAUGGGCAUGCGUGACAUUAGAUAGUUGGUGAGGUAACGGCUCACCAAGUCAGCGAUGUCUAGGGGUUCUGAGAGGAUUAUCCCCACACUGGUACUGAGACACGGACCAGACUCCUACGGGAGGCAGCAGUAAGGAAUAUUGGGCAAUGGACGCAAGUCUGACCCAGCCAUGCCGCGUGCAGGAUGACAGCCCUAUGGGUCGUAAACUGCUUUUAUAAGAGAAGAAACCCCUCUACGUGUAGAGGGCUGACGGUAUCUUACGAAUAAGGACCGGCUAACUCCGUG
rnacentral:rRNA from 1 species